GCAGGAGUUAAUUUUGGCUCAAAUGGAUUAGAAUUGAAAAUGGAACACUUGCCUGUAUUCGCACACAAAAAAAAAUUAAGAUCGUAUUGACGUCUGUAAUGAAUCAAACUAAUAUAGGUUAACUACUCAAUGCACAGUUUAGUAAACACAUAAAACAUGGAAAAAGUGCACAUUGCCUGGCUUUUGUGACCUGAAAAUUCACUCAAAAAUCUUCAAGAUUGUGACAUCUCGACAGCGCAGGGACUAUUGUGCCAAUAAAAUGUAGCAGUAGCAAAUCAUACUUCCAUCAAGAAUGAAAAACUACGUGAAAAAUACUAAUCUGAGCCCCUAAAUCUACGGUAAUCUCAAGUUUAUUCCGAGCCUCAGAAGUCAAGAAGACGCAUUACUG